rnacentral:misc_RNA from 1 species
AUAGCCGAGGUUGUACUCCUG